rnacentral:rRNA from 1 species
GAUGAACGCUGGCGGCGUGCCUAAUACAUGCAAGUCGAGCGAACAGGCGAGGAGCUUGCUCCUCUGACGUUAGCGGCGGACGGGUGAGUAACACGUGGAUAACCUACCUAUAAGACUGGGAUAACUUCGGGAAACCGGAGCUAAUACCGGAUAAUAUAUUGAACCGCAUGGUUCAAUAGUGAAAGACGGUUUUGCUGUCACUUAUAGAUGGAUCCGCGCCGCAUUAGCUAGUUGGUAAGGUAACGGCUUACCAAGGCAACGAUGCGUAGCCGACCUGAGAGGGUGAUCAGCCACACUGGAACUGAGACACGGUCCAGACUCCUACGGGAGGCAGCAGUAGGGAAUCUUCCGCAAAGGGCGAAAGCCUGACGGAGCAACGCCGCGUGAGUGAUGAAGUUCUUCGGAUCGUAAAACUCUGUUAUUAGGGAAGAACAAAUGUGUAAGUAACUAUGCACGUCUUGACGGUACCUAAUCAGAAAGCCACGGCUAACUACGUG